rnacentral:lncRNA from 1 species
AUUAUUUUCAUGUUGGGUAACAACUCUGCUCUUCCUUUUCCUAAACGGCCUACAUUUAUUUCAAAAACAACUCACAAGGGUGAAGAUUUAUCAUCCUCUGGUGAACGACUUUUAUCUGUAAAUAAUGUGACCUUGACUUUGCUUCAACCUCGUUAAAUGCUUACACUCUCACAUGUUGUAUGUUUAUCCUCCAUGACAAUGAAUUGUAUACAUGAUAUCACUAAGAGAACACCUUUUGAUUUAAUGAUCAUAGUUAGAUAAUUAACCAACUCUUUAAGUGUAUGCUUAAAGAUAGGGCGAGUAUGGAAACUUGUAGGUACAAUCAAACAAUCGAUUAAAUAUGAUCAGCCCCAUUGAAUUUAUGAGCAUAAACUGUUUCAACAUUAAGGCCUUACAAUCAUACAACUAACAUGGUUCAAAUUGAGCUAAUUCUUUACACAUGAUAUGCUAAAUAGGAUCUAUCAAAUGAUAAACAAAAUAGCCCAUAUGGGUAAUGGAAGAACUUGGAAGGAGGCAAUGCAUUGGUUCAAAACCAUCAUGAGAUGUUUCUCAUAUUUUCGUUUUUGCUAGAAUGGUCAAAUCGACAUCCUCUUUUAUAUUCAGGGCAUACCUGUGGUUCCUAAAAUGAAUUAUUAGGGUCAUUCCCUUUUCCUAUCAAGCAAUGAGUGACCAUGGGAAUAUAUGCCCAUUUGAAUUUUGGAUAGUUGGUUGCCUUGACCAUAAGGCAUCUCAAUGUUGUCCUGAUUCUUGAGGUAGUUAAUAAAAGAAAAGAAAACAAGGGAAUUAUAUAUGUUUUUCUGUUUUGGGCAAGGCAAAUGAGAUCAAAUUUGACAGUAGAUGGAUGUUUAGUACAUGAGCAUCUUCAUUGCAAAUAAUUUUACAAAUUUUGAAUACAUUCUUCAUCAGAUUUCCACUUUCUCUAAAAUACUAUAGAUGGUCGAACAUGGGUACAAGGUAUGGCUUCAAAUCCAUAACAUCUUAAAAUUCAAAGUUAAGAACUGAUUAUGUGAAAUCAAGGGGGGAAAUAUCAUUGGGAAAUGGAAAAAGAUUUGAGAAAUGAUAAUGAUGAAGACUUCAAAGAGAAAAAAAACUGACUUUUACUCUUGAUUAGGAUACUUGGGCCAUCCAACCCUUGACAGAUUGAGUUAAGUUCAAAGAGGGAAAGCCGGCAUAUUCAUAAUUUUAAGAUGAAAAAUGGAUUGGUUUAAAGACUUUAAGGCAUCCCUAAUUUGGUUGGUUUUUAAGUACUGACUAAUGAGAAGAUUUAUUCUUUGUUUUCCUUGAUUUUUUUUUUUUAAUCUCAUUGACAAAUGAACGACAAUACGUGUUAAAAGAAUAAUUAAAAAGACACUAUUACUUCAAGGUGGGGCACAAGGGAAGCAAGACAACAAAAAAUGUUAUAAUUUGAGCCUUGUUGCUACAUGCCUCCAAAAAAUUUUCUCCAAGAACAAAGAAGUAUCGUGUAAGUAGAAUAAAUUAUAAUUUAGGAUAAAAAGUAGAGGAAUUUAAGAAAAUAUGAAUAUAGUUCUUACCGACAACAGUUUAAACUCUUUUAUUUCCAUCCAGUAUAUGUUUUUAAUUUUUGACAAUUUCUACGUCUCUCCAUCUCUUUUGCUUGUGGUCUUACGUUAUCACAUGGAGAAGUUUUACUUAAAAACUAUAUAAUGGUAUUUUAAUACGGUGUCAAAGCUUCAUUUAACGAGAGAUCAUGUGUUUAAGCUUUAUCAUAUAUUUAUUUUUUAAUUUAUAGUUAUUUGUUUAUGGGUAUUCGCCCCUGAGGAAGGACAUCAAAAAACAUAAUAUACAUUAUAAACCAAAAUCCAAUAAAUUUAAGCUUUUAAAAAAAAUUAUAAUUUGCUUAAACCAUUAGAAAACCUGUAGUUGAAAGCGAGGAAACUUUCAUACUUUUUGUUUUGAUGAGACAAAAAUGUCAAUUUUUGAUUGGAUAAGAAACUUCAAAAUAAUUGUUAGAAUUGCUUGAAAAAUCUAAAGUUACAUCUGGUUUCUUGAAAAUAAUAUGAAAAAAAAAAUUAGGAGAAAUGAUUUCCUCAUAUUUAAUUUAUUAUAAAAACAAAAAUACCAUAAAAAUUUAAAUAUAAUUAAAAUUAAUAAAAAUUUUAAUGUAUUUUUAAAUUAAUUAACCUUUAUAAAGAAAAGAAAAAUAAUUUAUUAACUUUAAAUCUAUCUUUUAUUUUUCUUCACUUAUUUAUUUAUUUAAUUUUUUAUUUUUCCUCCCUCUUUCUUUCUAUUACAUUUUCAUCAAAUCUUCCAACAACCGAAUAUAGGGUUAUAUCUUCAUCAAGACAUAACCAUACAUAGGGAUAUAAAAAGCAAGCAAUUAAUAUUCUACUGGUGGUUGGAACAUAGUGUCAUGCAUCCAAUGCCAAAAUACAACAUUGAACAAAUCUUUCCAGUUUGUUUUAUUUGUCACAGCAGCAGCCAUACAUAACUUACAAGAGAUGACUAGUGACACCAACUGGUCAUGAUGCCAAGUUGCUAGCAUAUAACCGAAUUUAUAAUGAAUUAUAUUUAGGACAAAAUUAUGGGACAAAGCUCAAUGGAUUGAUUCCUUCUACUCCCGUCAUACCAAACAUGUUUGUAUAUUGUCACACCAACCACGAGGCCACAUGUAUAAAUAAUAAUUAGCUAUGAUAUCUUCAAACGUACUUAUCAUCAAUUUCUUAUAUUCCCUAACUAUUUUUUUAACACCUUGAAAUUCAAUAUUCAAGUAUUUUCUUUCAUUAAAUAAAAAAAAGUUGCUGAAAUACGAAUUUAAUAGUAAGAUGGAUGAUUAAACCAUGAUCAGACUAUAGUGCAAGUAUCAUAUUAUAAAUAUUUAAUUUAUAUAUUAUUAAAUUUAAAACUAAUUAUAAAAAAUAAAAUUAUAUAGAGACAAUUAAAUUUUUUAAAAUAUUUUAUGAUUGUGUCUUUAUUUAAUAGUUUCAUGUUAAAAAUAAAAUGUAAAUAUGUUAAUAUUUUUUUAUUUUAUUAUAAUAAAAUUAUAAUAUCUAAUUAUUAACAAAAUUGAAACAAAAUUUAUUAUUAAUUCAUUCACGUUUCAUUAAUUUUUUAUUUACAUAUUAUUAAUUUUAAAUUUUAAAUUUUAUAAUUUUAUUACUUAAUAUGUUUUAUGAAUGAGAAGUUAAUUUUAUUUUAAUCUAUUAUAAGUCAUUCAUACAAGGAUAGAAAUGUUUGUCAUGGUAAUAUUCAUGUAAGUAGAAUAAAAAUAUUAGUAAUUAAAGAUAUAUUAAUACUUAGAUUUUAUAAAUAUAUUAAAUAUCAAGAGAAAAUGUCGAUGAAUAUUUUUUCACAAAAUUUUAGUGGAUGAAAAUUAGUAUGGGGCCAUAUAAGGCAAGCCAAUUCCACCUGUGGUUCUUUGUUUUAAAGAGGCAUAAUCAAUUAAAUCAAUUCAAUCCCAUCUCCUUUCGUACACGCAUUCGAAAAUAACCACAAAAUAAAACCUUUUAAAAAUAAUUUAUUACAAAAUAGGAUUAAUAAGGAUAAAAUAAUUCUCAUAUUUGUAAAUUUAAUCCUUUAUAUAUUUUUACUUGAAAAGUAACAUAUUUAAUAUAAUAUCUCUAUUCAUUUUAAGCAUUUACACGGAAUUUUAAAAGAAACAAUUAUUUUUAUAAGAAAAAAGUGAAAGUAUUUUUGUUAAAAUGAGGUUAAAAAAUUAUAAAAGGUUAAAUUUCCAAAUUUGAGUUGUCCAUCACCCUUUUAAUUAAAUAACAUUAAAAAUAAUGCCUUAAUGGAAAAUUACAUAAAAUCUUAAUUAUUUUAAAAAAAAAAUGUAUUAAUUUUGAAUUUUUUAAGAAUGAGUUUUUAUUUUGUGAUCUUUUUGAAAUAUUUGGGAAACCAAAGGUAUGUUUAGGAAGUGUUUUUAAAAAUAAUAUUUUGUGGUUAAAAAAAAAAAAAUGUAUUUGGGAACUAAAUUAUAAAAAACAAUUUUUGUUUUUAAAAAAAAAACAUAUUUGAUUAAGUUAAUAAAAACAGUUUUUAGGAACAAGUAAAAAAAAAAACCUUAUUUCAAAGUUGUUUUUUUUUUUUUAAAUAACAUAAAAUAAAAUUGAGUAUUUUCUUCAAUUAACUUGACAUUAUAAAUAUAUAAAUAAUUUUACAUUUACAAUUCAUAAAAAAUAAAAAUUUGUUCCAUUUUGAAAACUUUUUACAUCUGUUUUAAUUUUUUUUUCAAAGAUUACUUUGUAAACUUGCCUAACUAUAUAUGUUUGAUUUCAAUAAUCGGAAAACAAUCCCAUUAAAAUAUGGUAAAUAUCAAUGAUUGGAUUUUAUGAAGAUAAAAUUUAUAAUAUCAAAUAAUAAUGCAUCAUACUUGGAAACUCAUGAUUUAUUUUUUCUAUUUAAUGAUAUAAAAAAUGUAACUAAUAAUGAUAUAUUUAUGAUAAUUUUUUGUUUAAAAUUUAAUUUAAUUAUUAUAUGAAAGAUAAAACAUUCUUGAAGUAAAUCAAAUUAAUUUAUAUAUAUAUAUAUUCAUAUAUAUUACUACUUUAAUACCUUUUUGGAUAGAAAUCAAGAUCAAAUAUCUUAUCAUUUUUUUUUCUUCAGUCCUCUAUCUCCACUAUUGUCUUUCUAAUCCUCUAAUUCCCUUCACCUAUCUCCUCUUGUUCUCCAUUUCUCUUUCAAGAUUCAAACUUUAUUCUUUGAGGCUCAAUCAUUCCUCUUUAGAUCGACAUUAGUCACCAAGACCAAGAUCAAGAGAUGUGGUUGAUGCACAGAUUCUUGGUAAGGGUUUUAUUAUUAUUAUUAUUAUUAUUAAUUUUUGUAUUUUUGGUCUUUUGUGUUUUUGUUUGGUUUCUAGAAAAUCCAAGAAAUUGUGGAGGUUUUGGGUUUGAAAUGCAUUUGAAAAAUCAUAUGGUGAUAAAAUCCUAAAAUAUCCAAAAAAAAAAUUGAAAUAAAAAUGACAAAAAAUAAAUCCAAAAAUGGUCUGUUAAUAUCGAAUUUUUGUGAAACCAAUUUUUCUUCAUUGUGCAAAGAAGAAACGGUAACACAUAGAGAACAAAUGAAAAAUAUUAAUUGAAAAUAAGGAGAGCAUCCCAUUUUUUUUAUUGUCAAAAUAGUUUUAAAACAUAGAGAAUACCAUUUUUUUUGUUAUCUGAAAAUCGGAUUUUAGAAAACAUGGACAACAAUUGAAAAAACAAAAAACAUUCUCUUACCUAACCCAUUUUUUGUUCUCAAAAGAAAAAAAAAAAAAUAGAUUUUGAAAACACCAACCAAAACAAUGCCAAACUUUUCCUUUUCAAAAUGGUUAAUUACUACGUAUCGGCGGGGACGGGAUUGCAAACUUCGAAAGCAACACCCUUGUGGUCUUGGUUUUUUCAAGGUCCUAAAAGCAGGUGAAAACAUAAAAUAAGAUUGACUUGACCUUUUCAACGUCGUUACAUCGUAUACAUCAAUAUAAGCAUCACUGUGCUCAAUAGAACCCACAAGCAAUGAAUCGGUGAGUCCUUUCCUUGACUUGGCAUCGAGUAGGCUAGUGCCAGUCUUAUCUUCCCAUGGGAGACGCCAAAUGCAUCAAAUAGCGUAGAACAAUUUGAGCAAUUGGCCAUUGCCAAACAUCGCUUUAAGUAAUGUCUUCUGUAAAACUCUGUAGAAAUCUGUAAAAUGGUAUUGGCCUCAAUGCCAAAAAUCGGGUGGCUAUUCUCAUUUAUAUACAAUUACAGAAGAAGUUUUGAAAUACACAAUAACAAAAAUUUAAAAAUACAUAACAAAAAUUCAAAUAUAGUCAAGGGUUAUCUCUUAAAGUAGAUAAGUGUUUAUUUGUUUCAUUCAAUCGCAACUGAUCUGGUGGAUAAGAUAAGUGAGAAGCCAAGGAAAUCUCGGUGGUUUGAAUGUUGUGGUUAUCAUCCCCCCUCAAGCUAAUGGGGAGAGAAACCACCAUUAGCUUGUCACGAAGCAGACAAAACCAAGCUAAACUUAGUCCCUUUGUAAAGAUAUCAGCAGGCUGAUCAUAAGAACCAAUGAACUAAAGGAAAAUAUCUCGAUUAGCAACUUUCUCGCGGAUGAAGUGAAAAUCAACUUCAAUAUGUUUGGUGCGGGCAUGAAACACAGGAUUAGAAGCAAGAGCAAGAGCGCCACUGUUAUCACACCAAAUAGUAGGAGCUGUGGGCAAAGAAAUAUGAAGUUUUUUGAGGAGCAUACGAAUCCAAUACAACUCAGCAGUAGUAAUAGUUAAUGCCCUAUAUUCGGCUUCAGUGCUAGAACGAGCUACCACAGAUUGUUUCUUGGCAGUCCAUGAGAUUAAGCAAGAGCCAAAGAAAACGCCAUACCCAGUAGUUGAUCUUCGAUCAUCGGGAUUACCAGCCCAAUCUGAAUCACAAAAGGCUUGAAGAGUUUGCUCGCCCUUAGUGUACCAUAAUCCCAGAUCAAUGGUGCCUUUUAAGUAACGUAAGACACGUUUUGCUGUUGUCCAAUGAACAGAAUUAGGACAGUGCAUAUGUUGGCAUAGUUGGUUGACAGAAAAUGCUAUAUCAGGUCUAUUCAAGGUGCAAUAUUGAAGAGCUCCCAUAGUUUGUCGAUAUUCUGUAAUUUGAGAAGCUGUGAGUGGCUCACCAACAUGAGUGGAUAAUUUAAGGCCUGUGGUACAAGGAGAGGAAGCAGGUUUUGCCCCAGCCAUCUUGGUACGUUGAAGAAGAUCCCCAAUGUACUUGGAUUGUCGAAGAUGUAGGCCAGAAGAGUCACGACUUGCUUGGAUGCCGAGAAAAUAGCCUAAAGGACCAAGGUCUUUCAUCUUGAACUCGGUCUGUAGCUUUUGGAUUAGAGACUAAAUGAGAGAAGGAUAUGUACCAGAUGAGGAUAAAUAGAUGAAUAUGGCCCUUAUGAUAGACAAAUAAGGAGGCAUCCACUGGUGAGGAUAGGAAACCGAAUUCAAGUAGAGUUUGAGAUAGACGCAUAAACCAAGCACGAGGUGCUUGUUUGAGGCCAUAAAGUGACUUGUUCAGUUUGCAAACAUAAUCUGGAAACUCUGAAUUAACAAACCCCUUAGGUUGCUCCAUAUAUACAUCCUCUAGCAAGAUCCCAUGAAGAAAAGCGUUAGAUACAUCAAGCUAUCUGAUUUCCCAAUCAAAUUGAACAGAAAGUGUAAGAAGCACUCGUACAGUAGAAGGCUUAAUUACUGGACUAAAAGUCUCAAUAAAGUCAAUACCUUCUUCUUGAGCAAAUCCCAAAGCCACUAAUCUUGCUUUGAAUCUGUCAACCUCACCUGUGGAUGUUUGUUUAACUUUAUACACCCACUUAUUUCUCACCACAUUAUGAUCAACAGGUCUAGGACAUAGCUUCCAUGUCUCAUUAGCCAAUAAAGCAUCAUAUUCCUCUCUCAUAGCAACACACCAGUCAGGUAAUAAAGCAGCUUGUCGAUAAGAUGUUGGUGCAAGGGGAGUCACAAUACUGGAUAAUGCUUGGAGAGGAUAUUGAGUGGAAUAGAGUUUAAAAUCUGAAAAUGUGCGAGGUUUGAGGUUGCCUGUUUGGGAGCGAGUUGUCAUGGUGUGAUGAGAGUGAUUGGAAGAAGAGGAAACUUCAGGUAUAGAAAGGAAAGGAGCUGGACCAAGUAUGGGAAAAGGUAGAGUGGAGAUAUGAGGAGAAGUGGGGAUAGGUAAAGAUUCUAGAGGAGAAUCAGGUGAAUCUGAAAUAAUUGGAGAGGAAUGCUGUAAAUUAGAAGUAAAUAAAGAAAAUGAAGGAGAAGGUAAAGGCGUACCUUGAGAGGAGACCACUGGAAGAAGUUCAGAAGACUGCAAUCCAUCCUUAGCAAGAAAUGUAUUCUCAUUAAACACAACAUGUCAUGAGAUUAGAACUUUUUGAGUGACAGGAUCCAAGCAUCUAUAUCCAUUUUGAUGGGAACUAUAACCUAGAAAUAUGCAACGUUUGGAUCUGAACAUUAAUUUGUGAGUUGCAUAUGGUCGCAACAAUGGAAAACAAGCACAACCAAAGGUGCGCAAGGAGGUAUAAUCAGGAUGUUUGCCAAAUAAUUUAAGAUAUGGUGUUUGGUUAUCAAGAGUAGAUGUUGGCAUUCUAUUGAUGAGAAAAAUGGAUGUUAAAAAGGCAUCAACCCAGAAUUUAGUGGGCAAAAGUGACUGAGCUAACAGAGACAGUCCCAUUUCCACCACAUGACGGUGUUUACGCUCAGCAACCCCAUUUUGUUGGGGUGUAUGAGGACAAGUGCGGCGAUGUUGGAUUCCAUUAGAGGAAAGAAACAAUUGAAAUUGGUUGGACAUGUAUUCUCCACCUCCAUCCGAUUGUAAUUGCUUAAUUUUGCAAGAAAAUUGGUUUUCAACUAGUGUUUUGAAUUUAACAAAGCAAGCAUAUACAUCAUAUAUAUUUUGGAGAGGAUAAAGCCAUGAGAAUCGUGAAAAGUCAUCAAUGAAUAAAACAUAAUACUUGCAUCCACUGAGAGAUUUGGUAGAACAAGACCAUACAUUAGUAUGAAUUAAUUGCAAAGGAAAGGAAAAAACACGAGUAGAAGGUUUGAAAGGAAGUUGCUUACCUUUGCCAAGUUGGCAAGAUUCACAAAAAUGCAUUUUAUUCAAUGAUCCUUCAACAGGUAAGGAAUGUUUAUUUAAUAACUGAGACACAAUGGGAAGAGAUGCAUGUCCUAAUCUAGAAUGCCAAAUUGAAACUGAUGCUUUAAUUCCUACAACGGCUGACAAAGCAUGUGAUUUAUUGAUAGACAUUGACCGCAACUGGAUUGGAUAGAGACCCCCUUCACUCUUGCCUUCCAGUAGUGUCGUCCCCGUUUGUAUGUCCUUGACAAAAUAAUGAGUACCAGUUAGAAUAAAGAGGCAAUUGUUAUCAAGACAGAAUUGAUUUAUGGAAAGCAAAUUGGCAGAAGCUUGAGGACAAUGGAGGACACGUUUGAGGUUUAAUUUAGCUUCAGGAGUAUGAAAAAUAGUAGUACCAGUAUGUGCAAUACUUAAACCUUGGCCAUUACCAACAGCUACAUUUUCUUGUCCUGUGUAUGGUUGUUGUAGAGUAAGAUGCUCCAGAUUGGCAGUAAUGUGUUGAUUAGCUCCACUGUCAGCAAACCAUGUCUCUUCCUCUUGCUCAGCAUUGCUAUUUGCCACCAUAGCAGCUAACUGGGUUGGUGGAUGACGACCCUGAUAUGCAUAAUUCAUUAUAUGAAAGCAAUCUAAUGCCUUAUGACUUAGCUUUCCACAGAUUUGACAAGGUGACUUAGGAGUGGAAAAUGAGUGCUGCUUCUGAUUUGGCUGAGGUGAGAAAGGUAAACCAGAGGGUUGUGGUGAAUAUCGAGGACGAGGAUUUUGUGAAAAUGAAGGACGUGAAUAUGGUUUACUUGGGUUUUUGGGUUUGCGAUUGUACUGCUGUUGGUUGGAUUUGGGAGUGAAGAAAGCAAAAUUAUUUGUCUCAGGUGGUAUAGCAAUAUUCUGGUUUUCCAAUAACAGUUCAUAUGACAAGAGCUCGGCUUGAAAAUCUUCAAAAGAAACAUUCUUGUCUCUAGUGGCAAAGGACAGAGAGGUUAUAAAGGGAUUAAAGGAUGGGUUGAGACCACUCACAAUAUAAGACAUUAAGUCAUCAUCCUCAAGUGGCUUACCAACUGCAGCUAAUUCAUCAGACACCAACUUCGUUUUUUCAAGAAAAUCAAUGCACUUCAUUGACCCUUGAUGAAGAGUCUGCAACUUUCGCUUUAGGUGGUGUACACGGGUUCUGGAUUGAGAGGCAAACUUGUUUGCUAGAGAACUCCACACCUCUCGAGCAGAUGUGAUGCCAUAGGCAGAAGCUAGCACCUUGUCAGAUAAAGUGGCAUUGAUCCAACUUAACACACACUGAUCUUUCUUAUUCUAGAGAAUAUAUGUUGGAUUAAGAGAACCAUCAAGAGAUUUUGAUGGACACGGCUCAGAACCAUCCACGAAGCCCAUCAAGUCAUGACUUUUCAGUACUGGCACAAUCUGAGAUGACCAUAUAAGAUAGUUUGUGUCACUCAGCUUGAUCGACACCAGAUGACCAAUGUUUGGAGGAGCAAAGAUAACAUUGGAGGAAGCGGAAGAAGAGAAGGCCAUAGUUGAGAAGGAAAGGAUCGAUUGAAAUUAGGCGUAUGCCAAUCGCUUUGAUACCAUGUAAAACUCUGUAGAAAUCUGUAAAAUGGUAUUAGCCUCAAUGCCAAAAACCGGGUGGCUAUUCUCAUUUAUAUACAAUUACAGAAGAAGUUUUGAAAUACACAAUAACAAAAAUUUAAAAAUACAUAACAGAAAUUCAAAUAUGGUCAAGGGUUAUCUCUUAAAGUAGAUAGGUGUUUAUUUGUUUCAUUCAAUCGCAACUGAUCUGGUGGAUAAGAUAAGUGAGAAGCCAAGGAAAUCUCGAUGGUUUGAAUGUUGUGGUUAUCAAUUCUUCCACCCUUCAAGUAUCUUAAAUCGAUUCAGUUUUAGGUAGAUAUCGUUGUCAUUUUUAAGCCUUACUUCAUAUCAUUAAGCUCCGUCACGUAGUCACCACUCGCCAGUUCAAUGCAUGCGUCAAAAUUGAAGUUGAACCGUUGGGUAGGUGCAAUUUUGAAGUCAUCAAUUCUAUGACAGAUAUAAUACAACUGCAACUUUGUCCAAUUCAUAAAUGCGGUGUGGAGAUAGUACAAAUGCAACUCUGUCUAAAGCUUUUGUCAUUUGCUCCACUCGUUCCUUCAUGGUAUGCCUCGUUAGUUUGUGUUGUAGAAUUGCUCUGUCUCAUCCACCAGCGCUGAGCGUCGGUAACACGGAAGUCAUCACUUUAUCAUGCAGUCACAUAUUUUUUUUACUUAAAGCAUUUUUUGUUCUAAAAAAAAACGGAUUUUGAAAACAACAAUCAAAAGGGCCAAACUUUUCCAUUUCAAAAUGGUUAAUUACUACGUAUGGGUGGGGACAGGAUUGCAAACUUGGAAAGCAACAGUGACAUUUAACGUGGAAAGAUCAGCCCACUCCCUUGUGGUCUUGGUUUUUUUAAGGUCCUAAAACCAGGUGAAAACAUAAAAUAAGAUUGACUUGACCUUUUCAACGUCAUUACAUCGUAUACUUCAGUAUAAGCAUCGUUGUGCUCAAUAGAACCCAAACUACAAGCAAUAUGAAUCAGUGGGUCCUUCUUUCCUUGAUUUCACAUCCACUAGGCUCGUGACAGCCUUAUCUUCCCGUGGGAGACGGCAAAUGCACCAAAUAUCUGAGAACUUUGAACAAUUUGAGCAAUAGAACCCACACAACUACAAGCAAUAUGAAUCAGUGGGUCCUUUCCUUGACUUUACAUCCACUAGGCUCGUGCCAGCUUUAUCUUCCCGUGGGAGACAGCAAAUGCACCAAAUAUCGGAGAACUUUGAACGAUUUGAGCAAUUGGCCAUCGCCAACCACCUCUUUUAAGUAAUGACUUCUUCUACUCUUCAAAUCUCUUCAAUCGAUUCAGUUUUAGGUAGAUAUCAUUGUCACUUCUGAUUCUUUGAACCUUACUUAUUAUCAUUAAGCUCCGUCACGUAGUCGCCACGCGCUAGUACUUCAAUCCACCUGCAACUCGUUCCUUCACGGUAUGCCUCGUUAGUUUGUGUUGUAGAAUUGCUCUGUCUCUUCCACCAGCGCUCAGCAUCGGUAACACGGAAGUCAUCACUUUAUCAUGAAGUCACAUAUGCAUCCUGUAAAGAUGUUUCUUCAGUACUUGCUUCUAUUCCUUAUGCUCCCACUUUGCAGCUCCACUAACACCAUAACUCCCAACCAACCCUUCAGAGAUGGUGACCUUCUAGUCUCUAAACAGUCCAGGUUCGCUCUUGGCUUCUUCAGUCCACGGAAUUCUACACUCCGAUAUAUUGGAGUUUGGUACAACACAAUUCGUGAACAAACCGUUGUAUGGGUUCUUAACAGAGACCAUCCUAUCAACGAUAGCUCCGGAGUCCUCUCCAUCAACACUUCUGGAAACCUCCUUCUGCACCGCGGAAACACUCAUGUAUGGUCCACAAACGUUUCCAUCUCAUCAGUCAACGCUAUUGUGGCUCAGCUGUUAGAUACCGGAAACCUAGUCUUGAUCCAAAACGAUGACAAGAGGGUUGUUUGGCAAAGCUUCGAUCACCCGACAGACACCAUGCUUCCCCACAUGAAGCUAGGACUUGACCGGAGAACUGGGUUGAAUCGGUUCUUAACAUCUUGGAAGUCGCCGGAAGACCCGGGAACAGGUGAAUACUCGUUUAAGUUGGAUGUGAAUGGAUCUCCUCAACUGUUCUUGUCUAUGGGUUCCAAGUGGAUUUGGCGAACGGGCCCCUGGAACGGUCUUGGAUUCGUGGGUGUGCCGGAGAUGUUAACUACCUUCAUAUUCGACAUCCGGUUUUGGAACACUGGGGAUGAGGUCUCGAUGGAAUUCACCCUCGUGAAUUCUUCCACUUUCUCAAGCAUUAAGUUGGGCAGUGAUGGAGUCUACCAGCGCUACACGUUGGACGAACGAAACCGCCAAUUGGUAGCGAUCUGGUCGGCGGCGAGGGACCCCUGCGACAACUACGGUCGGUGUGGGCUCAACAGCAACUGCGACGUCUACACAGGAGCUGGCUUUGAGUGCACAUGCCUUGCGGGAUUCGAGCCCAAGUCGCAACGUGACUGGUCCUUGAGAGACGGGUCGGGUGGGUGUGUGAGGAUCCAAGGCACGAAUACCUGUAGGAGUGGGGAAGGGUUCAUAAAAAUAGCAGGUGUGAAGCCACCAGAUGCAUCGACGGCACGUGUUAACGAGAGUUUGAACUUGGAAGGCUGUCAAAAGGAGUGCUUGAAUGACUGUAACUGCCGUGCAUACACUAGCGCUGAUGUGAGCACAGGAGGAAGUGGGUGCUUGUCUUGGUACGGCGAUUUAAUGGACAUAAGAACCUUAGCCCAAGGGGGCCAAGAUUUAUUUGUUCGCGUGGAUGCUAUUAUUUUAGGUAUGCGUUCCUACUUACUCACAAAAUUAAUUAUCCAAGCUUAUCUUACUCGAAAUUAUUCAAAGAAAUUAAAUACAAUGACUUAUUUCUUUCCACAUUCUAACUCCAAAUUGAUAUCCUACAUGGAAUAGAAAAAAACCAUGUUUAUAAUGUAGUAUUGUAAACUAAUCCAAGGAUAGAUUAGGACAAAUUGAUCAAAUAAUUCAUUUUUAUUAAAUGAAUAAUAAACCUUUUGAUAUUAAUUGUAACAUCACUCACAUAUUUAAUCAACUAAAUGUCCUUGCAAAAUAAAUUUAAUAAUUACUAAUGACUUAUAAAUGAAGAAAGAUAACAUACGUAAUAUGCUAUGACAACAAUAUAAUACAAUUAUAUAUAAUAAAAGAAAUUAAUUUUGGUACAGAUUAUUUUAAUAUCAUGUUCAUAAGUAUUAUAAAAGAUGAUUUAUUUUUGUUUUAUACUUAACUUUAUUUAUUUUUUGUUCCGACUUCAUGAUUAAAUAUGACAAAAAGUAAAGACAAAUUAAAUGAACCUAAUGUUUCUAAAAAUAUCAGAUGCUAUUAGUAGUUUAUCACAAUUACAUAUAUUUAAUACAUUUUAAAAAAGUAUUCAACUUGUGAAUUUUAAAAUUAUGAAUAUAUAUAUAUAUAUUAGAUUGGGUUCAACUUGAGGUUGUAUUAGUAAACCGUCAAUGAAACCUAGCUUCGUAUUUUUCUAAAUUUGAGGCUCAUCUAUUGAUGUUCACCCUAGCACUCUUCUUUAUUAAGUUUUAUAAUCAUGUUAUAUGGUUUUCGUCUCCCUUACAUCAAACAAAGGUUUUAAGACUUUUAAGAUUAAUGUUGAUUUUUCUACAUUUUUUUCCCUUCUAUAGCAGAAAAUGAAAGAACAAAAACUUUCUUUCACAAGACAAUGAUGAUAGUGAUUCUCACCGUCGGGGUUGUUUUCUUCAUGAUUCCCACGAUUUGUUCAUCUUGGUUGAUAAUGAAGAAAAGAAAAGGUAUUUAAAAGUUUGUGGUAAUGAAGUAAUGACAAUUUUCAUUUAUUUUGCCUUCUUUUAAGAAUACCACAAUAAAAUAGAGUAGAAUGAUUCCAAAAACUUUGAAGUACUAGAAAAUAUAACAAUUAAACAUUGAUAAUUUGUUGGUUAUCUUGAUAUCAUGCAGGUAAAGGAAGACAAUGUAAAACGUUGUUUAAUAUGAGCUCAAAAGCUACAAGGCUCAAACACUAUUCAAAAGCAAAGGAGAUAGAUGAAAAUGGAGAAAAUUCUGAAUUACAAUUCUUUGAUCUAAGCAUUGUAAUUGCAGCAACAAAUAAUUUCUCUUUUACUAACAAACUUGGACGAGGUGGUUUUGGCAUAGUUUAUAAGGUAGUCAUCAUCAAUGGUGUGUUUUAAAUUUACAUGCAUGUUUCAUGAUAGCCAUUAUAUUAAUUAAGUUGAAUUUUUUUCACUAUAUUCAAACAAUGAAUAAGCUAAAUCUAUAUAUAUUUUGAUGAUUGUUAGGGUCUACUAUCCAAUGGACAAGAAAUAGCUGUGAAAAGAUUAUCAAGGAAUUCAGGACAAGGAGUAGAAGAAUUUAAGAAUGAAGUCACUCUAAUUGCAAAACUCCAACACAAGAAUCUUGUGAAGCUUCUAGGUUGUUGUAUUGAAGAAGAAGAGAAAAUGCUAAUCUAUGAGUACUUGCCAAACAAAAGCUUGGACUAUUUCAUUUUUGGUAUCAAUGUCUUAUCUUCUACCAUUUUUGUUGAUCUCUUUUACCUCUAGUUCUUGCAUAAUCACUUGGAGAAGCUAUUUUAACUAUUCAUUCAUUAGUAAUUGAUGCUUCAUAUUUUUUGUACAGAUGAAACAAAAAGGUCAAUGUUGACUUGGAGGAAGCGCUUUGAAAUCAUUAUUGGAAUUGCUCGAGGGAUAUUAUAUCUUCAUCAAGACUCAAGAUUAAGAAUCAUACAUAGAGAUCUAAAAGCAAGCAAUAUUCUAUUAGAUAUUGAUAUGAUCCCAAAAAUUUCAGAUUUUGGCAUGGCUAGAUUAUUUGGCAAGAAUCAAGUUGAAGGAAGCACAAAUCGGGUAGUUGGAACAUAGUAAGUAUCAUAUAUGAGGAGCUAAUAAGGAACACAUGAUUAAAUCUUAAUAAUUUUUCUCAUUUGUUGGUGCAGUGGUUAUAUGUCACCUGAGUAUGCAAUGGAAGGACUAUUUUCAAUCAAGUCUGAUGUAUAUAGCUUUGGGGUUUUGCUACUAGAGAUUAUUACUGGGAGAAAAAACACAGCUUAUUAUUAUGAUAGUCCUUCUUUCAACUUAGUUGGAUGUGUGAGUAAAUUGAUUGUUUGUUGCUCUAUUUUUCCUUUUUUUAUUUACUUAUAUAAGCUAGCUAAUAGUGAAGAAAAAAAAUCAGGUUUGGAGCCUAUGGAGAGAAGACAAGGCCUUGGAUAUAGUAGAUCCAUCACUAGAAAAGUCAAAUCAUGCAAAUGAAGUAUUGAGAUGCAUCCAAAUUGGACUCUUAUGUGUCCAAGAAUCUGCAAUAGAUCGACCUACCAUGUUGACAGUUAUUUUCAUGUUGGGUAACAACUCUACUCUUCCUCCUCCUAAUCAACCUGCAUUUGUUAUGAAAACAUGUCAUAAUGGUGCAAACUCAUCUAGUGUAGUAGUCAAUUCUAUAAAUGAGGUAACAAUAACUAUGGAUGCACGCUAAAUGCUCAAACUCUCAUAUGUAAAUUUAUUUACCAUGACAAGAAAUUGUGCACACAAUAUCAUUAAAUUUAUUUAUUUUUAUAAAUCACUUUUUAUAUAUGCUUAUGUGGAUGACAAAUAAAAUGAUUAUAUAUAUAUAUUUUUUUACAUAAACUGACCCAUCAUGUUUUGCAAGGCUUCUAAAUACAUAAAUGUAUGCUCAAAAAUGGAAUAAAGUCAAACAAUUGAUUAAACAUAUUCACUCCAUUGAAAGCUUAAUUGAGUCCCUUAGUAGGGUCUUUAGGUGACCAAUUCUAAAUUAGGUGACCAAUUAAACUAGUAUUCUUAUGCUUGAUUGAAAUAUCGAUGGUUUUCAGUUAGGAAAUCCAUCAAAGUUCAAUUCAAACUUUUGGAGAAAAAAAAACAUAGUACUUAUUAGGUGUUUGUAUAAAUUAAAACACAAAAAUAAUGAUGGAAUUUUGAGCUAAUUAUUUACAAAAUUUUCAAGAUUACCCUUAAGCCAUAUUUGACUCUUAUUUGUUUUUCAAACUUUCCCUCAUGUUUUAAAACGAACUUCUUUACAAAUGGAAAAUCCCAAAACUUAACAUAAUAGAUGAUAUCAAAAUAAAGAAGUUUGAACUAGGGAUGGCAAUGGGGAGGGUCUUUUCGGGUACCCGUCCCUAAUGGGACGAGGUUUAAUUUUAAUAAACGGGUUUGAGACGGGUUUGAGAAUUUUUUAAAAAACCUGGGGCGGGUUCGGGUAUUGCCCCGCCCCGAUUAUAUAUAAAAUUAAAUUUAAAAUUAAAUUUAAUUUAAAAUUAAUUUAAUUUAAUUUUUAUUUUGUUAUUUUUAAUAUAUAGAUAAUAAUAAAAUAUUUUAAUAAAAUAAGUUAUAAAAAAUAUAUUAUAAUUUAAUUAUUUACAAAAUAUAUUUAUUUUAAUAUAAUUAAAAAUUUUAAAAGUAAUUUUUUUAAAUAAUAUUAAAAUUCAAAAAAAAGUUAAACGGGGUAGAAUUUAUCAUACCCGCCUGCCCCGCCCCGCCUCGUUUAAUUUUUUAAAUGAGACGGGGAUGAGAAUUGUUUCAAAUAAACAGGGCAGAGUUAGGAUGGGGGCGACCCGUCUCGAACCCGCCCCAUUGCCAUCCCUAGUUUGAACAUAAGUCAAUAAUUUCUCUAUUGUGUUAUUACUAUGAAUAUAUGUUACUUGAGUAUAUAAUUUGGAUUGAUAUUCAACAGACAAAGAUAGAGACCAACUGAACUCUAAUAUCAUUUUGAACAACCAAUUUUCUUAAAAAAUUAAGUUUAUAAGAUUUGAGGUCAAUAUGCAUUUCAUGCUCAUUAACACUCAACACAUAUUUCAAUAAGAAAUUUCAUAGACUCCUCAAACAUUUAUAUUACAUACAACUCAGGGCACCAAAGAAUAUAAGUAAAAGGAGUAUGCGCUAGAAGUCAUUAUUUCUAAUAUUUUCAAAAUUGAACUAAUCAUUAAAUCAAAAAAGUUGUCCAACUAUAAUUUAAGAUUGUCAAUCAAACCAUGAUGGUGUAAGUAUCAUAUUACAAAUAUUUAAUUUAUAUAUUAUUAAAUUUAAAACAAUCAUUAAAAAUUAAAACAAUAUAUAAAUGAUUACAAAUUUUAAAACAUUUGUUUAAUAUUACCAUAUCAAUGGUAAAAUGUAAAUAUAUUCAUACUUUUUAUUUUAUUAAAUCAUAAAAUUAUAAUAUCUAAUUAUUCAAAAGGUAUUCAAAAUUGAAAUAAAAUUUCAUUAUUUAUCUUAUUCAUGCUUCACUUUUAUAAAAAUUUCAUAAAAUUUUUAUAUUUUUUAUUUUUUAUUUGCAUAUUAUUAAAAUUUUAUAUUUUAUAUAAAAUUCUAUAAAAUUUCAUAAAAUUAAAAAUUUUUAUUUUUUAUUUUUUAUUUUUUAUUUGCAUAUUAUUAAUUUUAUAAUUUAUCAUUUUAUCACUUUACAUGUUGUAUGUAUGGGAAGUUAACUUUACUUCUAAAUUUAUUAUGAGCCAUUUCGUCCAACAGCAGAAAUAUUUUUGUCAUAUUGGCGCCACUCAUAUGAGGCAAGCCAAUAUAGUCCACCUCCCUGCAGGCGGUGGUUCUUUGGUCCAACAAGAAAUCGAAUUGGAGACAUAAUUAAUCCUCGAUUAAAUCAAAUCAAUCUCAUUUCAAAAAGAAAAAGUGUUCUUCAUAAUCAAAUUUUAAAAUAACCACAAAAUAAAUUUUUUUAAAAGUAAUUGAAGUUUUAUGUAUUCUAAAAUCAAAAAUAAUAUUUAGGGCUAAUGUAAUAUUUAUAUCAUUAAAAAAGUACAUCAACUUAAAAUUACAAAAUUUUAAUUAUUAUUAAAGAAAUGUAUUAUAUUUAUAAUUUUUAAAAUUGAGUUUUUAUUUUAUGAUUUAUUUUUAAAUGCUUACGAAACCAAACUUUUCCAUUUCCAAAACGUUAACAUACAUGGCGAUAGGUUUGCAAACUUGAAAAGCAAUACUGCCAUUUAACAUCGAAGGAUUUAAUUGUGGUCUUGUGUUUUUCGGAGGUCCCAAAAACAAGGUGAAAACAUAAAACAACAUUGACACCAACUCAACGUGUGAUUACGUCGAUAUAAGUUUCAGUGUGGUCAAUAGAAUUUUCUUCCCUUGACUUACCAUCAUGUAGGCUAGUGCCUGCCUUGUCUUCCCAUGGGAGACGACAAAUGCACCAAAUGUUGGAGAACUUUGAACAAUUUGAGCAAUUGGCCAUUGCCAACCACCUCUUUAAGUAAUGUGGAAUUUACAGGUGAUGCUCCCCAUAUAUCCGAGUGAAUGAGCUUGAAAGGGGCAGCAGUUUUGGUUUCUAAACUUGGAAAAGGUAACACAUGACUUUUACCAUAUUGGUAAGUUGAGCCACAAGUCUUUAGCACUUGACUUAAAAUUUUGGUAGAAGGAUGACCAAGCCUUCUAUGCCAGACAUUGGUUUCAUCAUUAGAAACAAUCAUUGAGCAACAAACUGAAUUGCAGGAGUUGUUUGGAUGAUAACUACUAAUAGACAUGUUAGAAUUUGAAGCAAAAGGCCUUGGGAGUUUUUCUAUUUUGGGAUGCAGCAGUAGGUUGAGGCUCAAUCAACAGGUAUAUGCCAUAUUUAAGUCUCCCUCACAGCAGCACAUUCUUUGUAGUUUUUGUCUUUUACAAGGCAAAAGUCAGUGAAAUUCUAUGAAUAUAUGAUUAUCAGCAGUAAGUUUGGAGAUGCUGACUAAGUUUUUAGUAAUUUUAGGCACUCUAUGUUUUUGAGGUGUAAUAAUUUGGCAUAAGUUAUUGGAUAAUAUGAGUGACCUAUGUGUGUAAUGUCAAGACUCUUACCAUUUCCAAUCAUCAGCUUCUCCUAUCCUUCAUAUGGUUUCUUCAAGCUCAGAUUAUUCAUCUUAGCUGUAACAUGAUUUGUAGCUCCACUAUCAGCAUACCAACUUGGAUCAAUCACUGUAUAUGGUGUGGCCAUGUAGACUGUUGUCUUAUAGUUGCUAUUGCUGCUAGUAGAGGAUGAUGUAGGCUAAAAGUUCUCAUUCAUUCAAUGCCAACAACUAAGAGCUAUGUGCCCUUGUUUACCACAAAUUUGGCAAAUAGGUUUAUUGCCAUUGCUUCUGCCAGAAAAACCUUCAUUUCUUCCUUUGCCUCGACCUCGAGGGUUCAAGUUUCAUUUUCCAUGACCAUGAUUUCCUCCAUUUUUAUGAGCAGCAAAAUUGGCAGAUAAAUGGUGUGAAUCUUAAUUAGUUGCAUAUAAUUGCUCAAUUCUACUUUCUUGAUUGAGUAGAAGAGCAUGAAUCUCCUUUAGAGAAAUAUGAUCACUGUUAUUACGGGUGGUAAUGCUGCAUACAAUUGGAUCUUAUUCUGAUCCGAGACCUGCUAAAAUAUAAAGUACCAAAUCUUCUUCACCGACAAAACAACCAGCCAUUGCACAUUGAUCUGCAAUAUUUUCCAUCUUAGCAAAGUAAUCACUCAUUGUCAUAAAUCAUUUUCUUAAUGUCUGUAAUUGCAUCUUGAGUUGUAGCAGUUUUGCUUUUGAUUUUGAGGUAAACAAGUGCUCCAAGGUUAUCUAGAGUUCAUGUGAAGUGGUAUAGUGAACAACUUGGCUUAGGAUUACAGUUGAUAAAGACGAAAGCAACCAACUCAGUAGUAAUCAUGGACAAAAAUAUUGGGAUAUAUCGGCGAUAUAUUGUGUAUCGGAGGAGGUGGAUAUGAUAUAUAGGUAAGAUAUAUUGUCUGAUGGAAAUGUUGGUAAAUAUCGGUAAAUAUCGGCUAUCGACGAUUAAUCGGUAAUCAUGGAUAUAUCAAUGAUACAAGCAAAAUUCAGCCUUAAAUGGGAAAAAAUCGUUGAAAUUUCAGAGAUAUAUCGGUGAAAAAUCGGUAAAUAAUUAAAUUAUUAUAAAUAAGUUAAUUUUAAUUAUCUUAUAAUUUAUUUUAUAUACUAAUUAAAUAUAAAAUCAUAAAUAAAAUUAUCAAUCUUUUUAAAUAAAAAUAUUUUGUAUCAAAAUGUAUCAAUAUUUUAAAAUAAAAAUCAUAAAUAUAUAUAAAUAACAUAAUUAGUACGUUUACAAUAAUUUAGUUUUCAAUUAAUAAUUUUAUUUUAUUUUGAUAUUCAAGUGUAAUAAUAGUAUAUUGAGAAUAAAUUAACUUAGUACAUUUUUAAAUUAGUAUAACAUUGAAUUUAAAUUAGUACAUUUUUAUAAUUAAUUAAUAUAUUUUCAAUAGAGGUAAGUAAAUUAACUUAACAUAAUAAUAUAUUUAAAUCACAUCAUUAGUAUAUUUAUAAUAAUUUAACUUUAUAAUGAGUCUACACUUACAAAAUUUACAUUUCUUAUCACACUAUAUAAUUAAAUUUAAUAUCAUAAAUCAUAUUAUAUAUAUAUUAAUUUCUCCAACAAAACAACUUUAAAAUGUCUAUUAUACUUCUAAUUUCAUUUUUAAGAGUUUUUUUCUUACAUUUUCAUAAGUUUUGAUGAAUUUUUGGUGUAUCCGCUGAUAUAUCUCUGCCGAUAUAUAUGUAAAAUUCAAGUACCGAUAUAUCCGUAAUUACUAAUAUUUUUAUCCUUGGUAGUAAUUGAUCUUCUCUGUUCAUUGUUCAAAUUCAGGAUUGAUAAUCCUAACAUUGUUCAGAUUCCAAGAAUUCUGGUGGUUGUGGCUUUGUGCCAAACAGGUAGCCUUCAAGGCCAUGACCUCUAGCUGCAGGUAAUACUUGAGAUUUCCAUAAGAGAAAAUUAUCCCGAUCGAGUUUGAUUGAGAGUGCUGUGCUAAGAGUGGUUGUGAAUGGAGAAGACACAUUUGUCUUUUGCAACACAUUCAGGCUUGGUGCAGUAGAGACAAAUCCAGACUCUGAGAGACAUUCUCUUGCUUAAAGAAAGAAAAAUGAGAUCUCCGAUACCAUGUGAAGAAACUGUUUGGUGACUAAGAAAAGAAAAUGGAAGAAAACAAUGGAGCCAGAAAACAAAUAUUGGAGGGACUGAAGUUUAUUUUUCUUAUUACCAGAACCGAUUUCAACAGAUUCCUAACUUCUUGGAAGUUUCCAACCGACCCAGGAACCGGGAAAAACUCGCUUAGGAUUAACACCAGUGGGUCUGCACAAUUUUUUUCUGUACCAGUGUUCAGAGCCGCUAUGGAGAUCCGGUAACUGGAACGGGCUCCGGUGGAGCGGUCUGCCGGUGAUGAUGCACAGAACCAUAAUCAAUGCUAGCUUUCUGAACAAUCAAGAUGAAAUCUCUUAUAUGUUUACCGUGGUCAACGCGCCGGUUCUCUCGAGGAUGACGGCCGACCUCGACGAUUAUCUUCAGCGGUACACGUGGCAGGAAACCGAAGGCAAAUGGUUCGGCUUCUAUACAGCCCCAAGGGACCGGUGCGACAGGUACAGCCGGUGCGGACCGAACAGCAACUGCGACAAUCGCCACACCGAGUUUGAGUGCACCUGCCUAGCGGGGUUCGAGCCCAAGUCCCCACGUGACUGGUUCUUGAAAGACGGCUCAGCGGGAUGCCUGAGGAAGGAAGGAGCGAAGGUGUGCGGGAAGGGGGAAGGGUUUGUGAAGGUGGGAGGUGCGAAGCCCCCAGAUACAUCGGUGGCACGUGUGAACAUGAACAUGAGCUUGGAAGCGUGUAGAGAGGAGUGCCUGAAGGAGUGUUCUUGCAGUGGAUACGCCGCUGCAAACGUGAGUGGAAGUGGGAGUGAGUGCUUGUCUUGGCAUGGGGAUUUGGUGGAUACAAGAGUGUUUCCUGAAGGGGGCCAAGACUUAUAUGUGUGUGUGGAUGCCAUCACUCUAGAUAUCCUAACAUUUAAUUGUCAGGAUUCAUGAAUGAUUUCUCUCUCAGAUUUAUGAGAUCAUUUCAAAAGGUUUCCUAGCGAAGAAGGGGAUGAUGGCAGUUUUGGUGGUGGGGGCUGCUGUGAUUAUGGUUCUAUUGCUCUCCUCAUUUUGGUUAAGGAAGAAGAUGGAAGGUAAUCAAACAAAAAUUCUUAUGGUCCAUUUAAGCCUUCUAUCCAAUGUUUGUGUCUUGGGCAUGGAUUAACAUGAAGAGAUUACUAUGAAAAGCCAAACAUUUCUAAGCUUAGUUAUCCAAUGAAUUAAUCUGGGGUUGAGUAUUUUUUUCCUUGCUUUCAUGGUAUUAAGGAAUUGUAUUCUUUCUUAAUUUUUUCCCAUCUAUUUUGCCUAGAAUCAAAGAAGCAUUAUUUAUUGUUAUACUUCCAUGACAAGGAGAGGAAAACAAAACAAAAUGUUGUAUAAUUUGAGACCUGGAGCUACAUGGUUGGAAGACUCUCUGGGAGCUACGGAGCAUGAUGAAAGUAUGACCAAUUUUGAAUUUCAAUUGUUUGAUUGGAACACCAUAGCCAGAACCACAAAUAAUUUCUCUUCUAAGAACAAACUUGGACGUAGUGGUUUUGGUUCAGUUUAUAAGAUGGUAAGUCAUUAAUUCUCAAAUCUAUGAUGAUUACUAAAAUUGUUGGGCUUUCUUUCAUUGCACAAACAUUACGCUAAGUUGAAUCUUCUUAACUGUGAAUAAGCUAAUUCUACAUCAUGAUUAUCAGGGUCAACUAUCUAAUAGACAAGAAAUAGUUGUGAAAAGAUUAUCAAAGGAUUUAGGACAAGGAAAAGAAGAAUUUAAGAAUGAAGUAACAUUUAUUGCAAAACUCCAACACAUGAAUCUUGUGAGGCUUUUGCAUUGUUGUAUUCAAGAAGAAGAGAAAAUGUUAGUUUAUGAGUACUUGCCAAACAAAAGUUUAGACUCUUUCAUUUUUGGUAUGUACCAUUUCUUUUCUGCCAUUUCCAUUUCUUUAAUCUUCUAAGGUUCUUGCAUAAUCACUUGGAGAAGUUAUUUGCCUAAUAAAAAUCAUUAUUAGUAGAUCCUAACAUUGUUUUACUGAUUGAUAUUUUAUAUAUCUUUGGGUAAGAUGAAACAAAGAAGUCAUUGUUAGAUUGGAGAAUACACUUUGAAAUUAUUAUGGGAAUUGCUCGAAGAAUCUUAUAUCUUCAUGAGGACUCCACAUUAAGAAUCAUACACAAAGAUCUAAAAGCAAGCAAUGUUCUACUAGAUGCUGAAAUGUUUCCAAAAAUUUCAGAUUUUGGCAUGGCUAGAAUAUUUGGAGGAAACCAAAUGGAAGUAAACACAAGUCGAGUGGUUGGAACAUAGUACAUGUUAUGUUUGAGAUGCCAAAGAAACAUAUUAGUUAAUAUAUAUGUCUUAAUAAUUUCUUUUAUUUGCUAUUACAAUGGUUACAUGUCACCUGAGUAUGUGAUGGAAGGGUUAUUUUCAACAAAAUCUUAUGUUUAUAGUUUCGGAGUUUUGUUGUUAGAGAUUAUUACUGGGAAAAAAAAUAGCACUUAUUAUCGGGAUAGUCCAUCCAUGAACUUAGUUGGAAAUGUGAGUGAGCUGAAUGUGUGUUGCAUUACCUUUUUCUUUUCAUUCUUUACAGUAAGUUAAUAAUAGUAAAAUUAUCAGGUUUGGAACCUAUGGGAAGAAGACAAAGCCUUGGAUAUAAUUGAUCCGUCACUAGAAAAGUCACAUCCUGCAGAUGAAGUAUUGAGAUGCAUCCAAAUUGGGCUCUUAUGUGUCCAAGAAUCUGCAACGGAUCGACCUACCAUAUUGGCUAUUAUUUUCAUGUUGGGUAACAACUCUGCUCUUCCUUUUCCUAAACGACCUGCAUUUAUUUCAAAAACUCACAAGGGUGAAGACCUAUCAUACUCUAGUAAAGGACUUUUAUCUAUAAAUGAUGUGGCUGUAACUUUGCCUCAACCUCGCUGAAUGCUUACAAUCUCAAUUUAUCUUCCAUGACAAGGAAUUGUAUACACAUGUCAUUAAGAGAACACCUUUUGAUUUAAUGAUCAUAGUUAGACAAUUAACCAACUUGGUAAGUGUAUGCUCAAAGAUAGGG